CAAGAGACCUCCACUUCUAAACAGGUGGUGACCACUGGCAUGGAACCCACAGGGCUGGGACAAUGCAUCUGUCACCCCGGAGCCUUGGGAGGCUUGGGGAAUUCUCCCUGUGUUCUCGGCAGCCCCCAGCCUCUCCCACCCCACACUAGCCUUCCCAGGAGGCUGCAGCCUACACUCCCCAAAAUGUGUCAUUAAAAACACACAUUUGCUGAGGGGAAUCCGGGCUGCCGUGUGUCUGCUGCGAGAUAUGUCGUCUGCUGCAGCUGGGGUGGAGACGGCCGGCGUCGGCCACAGAGAGGGGACCUGUCUGAAUCCUGGCCUGAGAGCCAGGUGGUUCCAGGUCUUUGAAGCCUCAAAAGCCUGACCAGGCCGGGAGAAAUCCAGGCUAUGUAGUGAGGGGCGUGGAGCUGGAGAGCGUGCCGGCUUUGCAGGGCUGAGACCUCAGGAGCAGGGCCUCAGGGCCUCAGGGCCGCAGCUCGCUUGGGUGAGAAGAGUAUUUUUCACCUUAUGUCUGGAGUGAGGAUGGAGGUGGGGCCGGGUGCUAGGAACUGGGGCAGAGGACAGAGGAAAGAAUCGGGAGGUGGCAAGUGGGAAGCAAGCGGAGGAUAUGGGGUUGGGGGGCAGACAAGCAGUCACCCUUUGGGGGUGUAGCUUCCUGGUUUCCGUCAGGAAGGAGGAGAUUCAGGCCCUGACCUGCUUCCCUUCCGUGCAGAUGUGAGGCCUCACCUUCUGUCUCUGUCCUCCGGCCCUACCUGGCCACACCAUGCUGUGUCCUCCUGUACAGGCCCCCCUCCUUGGCUAAUGUGCAAUUUCCAGGAAGGUGCAGUCGGACCUGAGAAAUGGCUAACCCUGGCCUGGGACCCCAGCUGGCUACAGCCUUCUCCAACCACUUGAGGCCCCCUUAUGCUUACUAGGUGCCAGGCACUGGGCUGAAGUCCUGAUCUUUCCGCUCAGUAGGGGAAAUGCUAUGACAGGUGUAUGCUGAGGUCCUGGGACCCUCGGGAUGUAGGAACACCUCACUCAUGGGGGAAGGGGGAAAACCUCUCCAAAAGUCAAGGCUAAGGUCAUUCAGGAAGGAUGAAGAGGUGUGGGCAGGUAGCAGGGUAUGUGGGUUUUAUUGUUUUUUGUUUGUUUGUUUGUUUUGUUUUUAAUUAAUUUUUUUUUUUUUUUUGGCUGUGUUGGGUCUUCGUUUCUGUGGGAGGGCUUUCUCUAGUUGCGGCGAGUGGGGGCCACACUUCAUCGUGGUGUGUGGGCCUGUCACUGUUGCGGCCUCUCUUGUUGCGGAGCGCAGGCUCAGUAGUUGUGGCUCACGGGCCAAGUUGCUCCGCGGCAUGUGGGAUAUUCCCAGACCAGGGCUCGAACACGUGUCCCCUACAUUGGCAGGCAGACUCUCAACCACUGCGCCACCAGGGAAGCCCCAGGGUAUGUGUUUUUAAUGGAAGGAAGAAUGUGGCAGGGAACUGGUGGUCUUGUCCCACAUGGCAGGAGAGAGAGAGCAGGCAGGGGAGAGGCAGCUGGAGUCUCGGAUGCCCGAGAUGAGGUCCAGAGCCCAAAAGGACUUUGGACUUGAUCCUGAGGGCUGUAGGAAGCCAUGGAAGGGUUUUAAAUCGAGAAUGCUUUGUAUUUUAGAGAGCAGAAAAUGGAUUAGAGGGGGAAGCCUGGAGGCAGGUAUGUGUCCUUGGCAUUAUAGUACAGUAGACUGGGCAAGAGAUGAUGGUGGCCGGCACCAGGGGCAAGGCCUGGGGAGAAGAAGGGCGGCAGGGAUGAGAUGGUAAGUGCUGGGUUCAAAGGAAAGGGGUUGGGAUUUACUUCACUGGAGGUUCCCAGCCCAGGAAUGUUGAGAAAAUAAGGAAGUGAGCCUCUGCUGGAGGUGCGGGUGGGUAGGAAAGGGGCUGAGCCGGAGGGACGGGACUUAGGAGGAGUCUGGAUCGGGGCCGGUGGGGAUGGAGAACAAAGGUGGAUUCAGAAGCAUUUAGGAGCUAGCGCCAGCUGCGCUUGGUGAUUACGUGGCCGUGGAAGAGCCCUGUGUGCCCCGGCUCUGCCGUCGUGCAGCCUGAAUUUUCCUGGCAUUCCACUUAAUCUGGGAGGUCUUCUUGGAGGAGAUGGGCAGUAUACAGAGGUAGAGCACCCGCUUGGUAGAGAAGCUCUAGAGGCUGAUCCAGGGAAGGUGCAGAGCAGGGGCAGAGAGAGAGCUGGACAGGUGACGUCCAAAGUGGAGUCCUCCAGGGACAUGGGGCCCAGCACUCUCGUUUUACAGAAAAGGAAACUAAGGUCAGAGAAGCAAACUGCCCUACCUAAUGCCGUACAGAAAAAAAUGACCAAGUAGUGGGGGCCAGAGCCCACCUCUCCCAAUUUCCAGUAAGUACCCUCCCUUCCCACCAUCCGGCCAGAGGAAAGGUGACAGGUACGGGAUGAGCAGUGCAGAGAGGACCGAGAGGUGGAGCCUGAAGGCUAGAGACGGAGGGGGCAGAGCCGAGAGAGGCUCCCUGUUUCUGGGAUGCCAGGAGUGGAGUCAGGAGCUGCUCAAGACCAGCCUACCCUGGGCUUUGGGGAUGGGCAGCCAGUGUGAAAACAGGCUUGGAGGAGAGCCGUCCAGGUGUCCCUGGCCACUUGCUCCUCAGUGGGAGAAGCCAACACCCAGCUCCCUGAUUCAUCCCCAACCCCCAACCUAUCCUCCUAGGGCUCAGGGAGAGAUGGGACCAGAGCAGGCCCCACCGCCACCGCUCCCCGGGGGCUUCCGCACUGCCAGAGAGCAGGGCCCGCCCAGCCCGUCUGGAAGAUCCCGGGCUUCCACUCUGGCUCCUUCUGGGGCUCUUCCCAGGCUGCCGCGCCCCCUCCUCUCCCAGGCACUGUGCUCACCCGCCCCAGGCGCCGGGCGCCAGCCCCACAGCCCAUCAUUAACCAGCUCCAUGUGGGGAGUUGAGGAGGGUGUGCGUUAGCCAAGAGGAAAACAUUGGCAGUUGCUGUGACCCCAGAUGAGGCGUGGAGACGCCUGGGUUCGGACAGUAGCAAUUAGCCCCUGGCUGUGGGAUCAUGGGAUGUUAGCACCUCUGCUGGUAAGGUGGAUGUGGAGGGGGCGCAAGGCUCCAGGACACCUGGGGCCGUCCCGAUAGGCACUGCUCCCAGAGAGAAUCCCACCAGGCAAAGCCCCUGCACUGCAGGAGGCCGGGGGGGCAUUAGUGCUGAGCUAACAGUGGCACCGGGCCGGGCUGCUCAGCCUGGACUCGGCCCUCACGCCUUCUUGCCAUGUCCAGACCCAGUGAGGGGGGGCUAGGGGUGCAGGGACGAGAGCUGGGCCAGCUGCCACUUCUCUGUUUCCUCACUGAGCCCUCUGCCCUGGCUCGCCCCGGACCCCAUCCUGGAUGUAGAGGGGAGGCUGGAGGCUGGAGACGCAGCCUGGGCACUUGGGGAGCUCCAGAACUAAUAGGGAAACGUGCCCAGGGCAUAGAUACAAGACAGGACAAGCUCAAAGGACUUCAGUGAGAGCCCUGCUCAUGUGGGUUCUUGCUGGCAGAACGAUUGGGUCCAGGCGACACUGAUUGGGAAAAUCUUCCCAGAGGAGGGGACCGUAGGAAGGGGAUUCCUUCCGAAUCUCACCCUCUACCUCACUAGCCUCUCCCCCGUGAGGUUAGGCCGUGACACCAGAAAGGGAGGAGCUAGGCAGCCCUGGGAGUUGACAUUUGGAGAAGUCGCUGCACUGGGAGGAGGGGACCUAUAACCUUGAGGUCACUGUGCUGACUCAGCAGGGUUUCGUCUGGAGGCUCUCCCCCCUCCAAUGGGUGAGUCAUUCCCACUUACCACUUAGCUGGUUUCUCACCGGAUUUCCUGUUCCUUUCUACCAGUUCCAGGGCAGGGAACAGGGGAGCAUCCCUGGAAAGCCCUAGAGAUGGAUCCCAAAGGAUGCCGAUUUCAGAGAGGCCCCUUCUGCAGGGCCCAGUGCCUCCCACCCAGGCCAGGCCUGCCACUUCAGCCCACCCAACUGAGCGCACCCGGGCAGAGUCUCAGGAAAGGAAUGGGGCACCGAAGAAGAGGUCCGUGACGUCUCGGGGGCAGGCCUGAUGCCUGCCUUGUUGGCUCAGCACUUCUGAGAAGCCACGAAGGCAGCCCAAACUGCCCGACCCCAGCGCCAGUGGGGAAACUGAGGCACGUAUGCACAGGUCCCCGGGACCUGGGUCCCAGACCCUGGAGCUCAUAGGGUGGCCAGGGAGAAAAUAGGCAGGGCAUGAGGUCAGGAAAAGAAACAGACUCAUUCUUUGGUAUCCUUAGGAUGCAAGAACUCCUCUGCUGGGACUUCACUGGUGGUCCAGUGGUAAAGAAUCUGCCUUCCAAUGCAGGGGAUGCUAAGAUCUCACAUGCCAUGGGACAACUAAGCCCCCAUGCCGCAACUACUGAGCUCACGUGCCUCAACUAGAGAUCCCACGUGCCGCAAACUACAGAGCCCACACACUCUGGAGCCCACACGCCACAACUAGAGAGAAGCCUGCAUGCCGCAAUGAAGAGCCCAAGCGAAGAUCUCGCGUGCCACAACUAAGACCAGACACAGAGAAAAAUAAUUAAUUAAUUAAAUA